GAUGAACGCUGGCGGCGUGCCUAAUACAUGCAAGUCGAGCGAACAGACGAGGAGCUUGCUCCUCUGACGUUAGCGGCGGACGGGUGAGUAACACGUGGAUAACCUACCUAUAAGACUGGGAUAACCUCGGGAAACCGGAGCUAAUACCGGAUAACAUGCUGAACCGCAUGGUUCAACAGUGAAAGACGGUUUUGCUGUCAAUUAUAGAUGGAUCCGCGUCGCAUUAGCUAGUUGGUAAGGUAACGGCUUACCAAGGCAACGAUGCGUAGCCGACCUGAGAGGGUGAUCGGCCACACUGGAACUGAGACACGGUCCAGACUCCUACGGGAGGCAGCAGUAGGGAAUCUUCCGCAAUGGGCGAAAGCCUGACGGAGCAACGCCGCGUGAGUGAAGAAGGUCUUCGGAUCGUAAAACUCUGUUAUUAGGGAAGAACAAAUGUGUAAGUAACUAUGCACGUCUUGACGGUACCUAAUCAGAAAGCCACGGCUAACUACGUG
rnacentral:rRNA from 1 species